CUGCCUGCUUUGCUCCUCUGCAGUUUCCUCUGGGAAGUUGGUGUCCAACCCUUUUCCACACAGCAGAAGGACGGGGCAUGGGCGGCACUGCCUCAGUCACAAGCACAGGUAAGCCAAGGAAAUAAAAGGGUGGGCAGGUCACCAGGAACCAGGAUUGCUGCUGAAAGUCUACUGAUGUUAACACAAAGAUCUGCUGUGCAGUGGGCAUCUGGGAAGCCACUGAACAAGGAGCAGGCUUUCCAGGAUCCUGUCUGGUCAGUUGCCUGAGCAUGGAUAAAAAAGCCAUCUCAAGAAAAUAAUCUGUCCUUCAUGCUACCAGACCUGACUGAUGCCUGAUGGCAAUGCUUUCUUUCACCUCUCUUAAGUGUCAAAAGAGCUUUCUGCAGGUGAGCUGCUGCUUGUAUUCCUAAUGAAGCUCCAAUUCUUCGUACAGCUAAUUCUUCUUUUAAGUCUCAUUAACUUUGGUGGGCUGACUCACAUAAAGGUAAAUGUGUGUGGAAGGACUUGCAGCAUCAGAUCUGGAGUAGUCAGCAUCUUACUCUGCUACCUAAAAGCCCCAUAAUGAUUUCUUAGCUGACUUUAUGCACUGAUUGCAUGUUCCUUAAUAAACCCUGAGCUUCUCUUGCCAUUUCUUCCAUCUGCCUCCAGAACCAUAUUGCCUUUGUUUUGGAUGUCUUUUUAACUGUUGUUUUAUCCUGCUGAGCUCAGACAAACAAGUCAGAAGCAGUGCUGUGAUGCAAACUCGUGACACUGUAAUAGAUGUUUAUCACCCAUUCAGGUAGCAUGAUAAUUGCUUUUAAGAUGCCGCUCCCUUCAAUUAGAGCCGUACAGGUCAGAUGCAAUGCUUUUGACGUUUAAUGUUAAGAACAAAGCUUUAAAUGUGCAUAAUUUUGUUUUGCUUUUUUACAGAGUCCCAAUUUGUCAUUCUUCAAGGCACAGUUUUUGUUUCCCAUGACUCAACACGAAUACCCUUGCUUAAAGCAAACACUUACCAGGAUUUUCCCUUGUGUUUUUCGUAUUUUUGGUACAGUCUCAGCU